UCUCAGCUUUUAUGGCCUCACUCAGUUCUGGUCAUAAAAGCAGUGAAAACAUUUUCCGACACUUGCUGGACAUAAAUGAAAGUUUCCUGUACUGGGUGAAGCUUUCACUCUGCCAGACAUCAGCCUGGACAUAUCUAAGGCAACCAAUCCCUGACUAGAUGAGGCGGGACGUGUCCCUGAGGUAACCAAGCUGGAUGAGGAUGAAAGCAGAGACAAAGAAGCUCUUCUGUGGGAACAGAUCGUCUGUAUGUUGCUGCUGAGUGUUAUGAUUGUAAGAAAAAUAAAUGUCUGACAAAAAUGUGCAAA